rnacentral:rRNA from 1 species
UCCGGAUUUAUUGGGNGUAAAGCGAGCGCAGGCGGUUCCUUAAGUNUGAUGUGGAAGCCCCCGGCUCAACCGGGGAGGGUCAUUGGAAACUGGGGAACUNGAGUGCAGAAGAGGAGAGUGGAAUUCCAUGUGUAGCGGUGAAAUGCGUAGAUAUAUGGAGGAACACCAGUGGCGAAGGCGACUCUCUGGUCUGUAACUGACGCUGAGGCUCGAAAGCGUGGGUAGCAAACAGGAUUAGAUACCCUGGUGGUCCACGCCGUAAACGAUGAGUGCUAAGUGUUGGAGGGUUUCCGCCCUUCAGUGCUGCAGUUAACGCAUUAAGCACUCCGCCUGGGGAGUACGACCGCAAGGUUGAAACUCAAAGGAAUCGACGGGGACCCGCACAAGCGGUGGAGCAUGUGGCUCAAUUCGAAGCAACGCGAAGAACCUUACCAAGUCUUGACAUCCUUUGACCACUCUAGAGAUAGGGCCUUCCCUUCGGGGACAAAGUGACAGGUGGUGCAUGGUUGUCGUCAGCUCGUGUCGUGAGAUGUUGGGUUAAGUCCCGCAACGGGCGCGACCCUUAUUACUAGUUGCCAGCAUUCGGUUGGGCACUCUAGUGAGACUGCCGGUGACAAACCGGAGGAAGGUGGGGAUGACGUCAAAUCAUCAUGCCCCUUAUGACUUGGGCUACACACGUGCUACAAUGGAUGGUACAACGAGCAGCGAACUCGCGAGGGUAAGCGAAUCUCUUAAAGCCAUUCUCAGUUCGGAUUGUAGGCUGCAACUCGCCUACAUGAAGCCGGAAUCGCUAGUAAUCGCGGAUCAGCACGCCGCGGUGAAUACGUUCCCGGGUCUUGUACACACCGCCCGUCACACCACGAGAGUUUGUAACACCCAAA